rnacentral:rRNA from 1 species
CCGCGAGGAGAAGACGUGCCCGAAAAUCAGUGGCGGUCCAGGAAGRCUUCAAGCGCMGUAAAUUCAUCCGCUUUCGAGGUUYYGSCUGNGGCCCUGCCAUCUAAAMCCACGGGGCUCCGCCCCUACUUCAAUGAUUGACCUCGGAUCAGGCAGGGAUACCCGCUGAACUUAAGCAUAUCAAUAAGCGGAGGAAAAGAAACCAACAGGGAUUGCCCCAGUAACGGCGAGUGAAGCGGCAACAGCUCAAAUUUGAAAUCUGGCUCCUUCGGGGUCCGAGUUGUAAUUUGUAGAGGAUGUUUCGGACAACGCGCGGGUCUAAGUCUCUUGGAACGGGGCGUCAUAGAGGGUGAGAA